rnacentral:rRNA from 1 species
AGCGAACGCUGGCGGCAGGCCUAACACAUGCAAGUCGAACGGGCUCUUCGGAGCUAGUGGCGGACGGGUGAGUAACACGUGGGAACGUGCCUUUAGGUUCGGAAUAAGCCCGGGAAACUGGGUCUAAUACCGGAUGUGCCCUUCGGGGGAAAGCUUUAUCGCCUUUAGAGCGGCCCGCGUCUGAUUAGCUAGUUGGUGGUGUAAUGGACCACCAAGGCGCCGAUCAGUAGCUGGUCUGAGAGGAUGAUCAGCCACAUUGGGACGGAGACACGGCGCAAACUUCGACGGGAGGCAGCAGUGGGGAAGAUUGCGCAAUGGGCGAGAGCCUGACGCAGCCAUGCCGCGUGAAUGAUGAAGGUCUUAGGAUUGUAAAAUUCUUUCACCGGGAACGAUAAUGACGGUACCCGGAGAUGAUGCCCCGGCUAACUUCGUGCCAGCCGCCGCCGUAAGAC